UGGGGAAUAUUGGACAAUGGGCGCAAGCCUGAUCCAGCCAUGCCGCGUGAGUGAAGAAGGCCUUAGGGUUGUAAAGCUCUUUUGGCGGGGACGAUAAUGACGGUACCCGCAGAAUAAGCCCCGGCUAACUUCGUGCCAGCAGCCGCGGUAAUACGAAGGGGGCUAGCGUUGUUCGGAAUCACUGGGCGUAAAGCGCACGCAGGCGGAUUGAUAAGUCAGGGGUGAAAUCCCGGGGCUCAACCUCGGAAUUGCCUUUGAUACUGUCUAUCUUGAGUUCGGGAGAGGUUGGCGGAAUUCCUAGUGUAGAGGUGAAAUUCGUAGAUAUUAGGAAGAACACCAGUGGCGAAGGCGGCCAACUGGCCCGAUACUGACGCUCAUGUGCGAAAGCGUGGGGAGCAAACAGGAUUAGAUACCCCCGUAGUCC
rnacentral:rRNA from 1 species